rnacentral:rRNA from 1 species
GAUGAACGCUGGCGGCGUGCCUAAUACAUGCAAGUCGAACGAACAGGCGCGGAUCUUGCUGCUCUGACGUGUGCCGCAGGCGGGUGUGAAACACGAGGAAAAUGCCCCUAUCUUAGGGAUAUAACUUCGAAACACGGGCGCAUAUACCGUAUAAUCUAUUGAACCGCAUGGUUCAAUAGUGAAAGACGGUUUUGCUGGCACUUAUAGAUGCAUCCGCGCAGCUUGAGCUAGUUGGGAAGGUAAAGGCGUACCAAGGCAACGAGGCGUAGCCGACCUGAGAGGCUGAUCGGCCACACGGGAACUGAGACACGGUCCAGACGCCUACGGGAGGCCGCAGUAGGGAAUCUUCCGCAAUGGGCGAAAGCCUGACGGAGUAACGCCGCGUGAGUGAUGAAGGUCUUCGGAUCGUAAAACUGUGUUACUAGGGAAGAACAAAUGUGUCAGUAACUAUGGACGUCGUGACGGUACUUGGUAAGGAAGCCACGGCUAACUACGUG